GAUGAACGCUGGCGGCGUGCUUAACACAUGCAAGUCGAACGAAGCACUUUAUUUUAUUUCCUUCGUUACUGAUUAUUUUGUGACUGAGUGGCGGACGGGUGAGUAACGCUUGGGUAACCUGCCUUGUAUAGGGGGAUAACAGUUGGAAACGUCUGCUAAUACCGCAUAAGCGCACGGCAUCGCAUGAUGCAGUUAUAAUACCUCCGGUGGUUUAAGAUGCACCCGCGGUGGAUUAGCUAGUUGGUGUGGUAACGGGCCACCACGGCGACGAGCCAUAGGCGAACAGAGAGGGUGACCGGCGACAUAGGGACUGAGACAAGGCAGAAGCUCGUACGAGAGGAAGAAGUGGGGAAUAUUGAAGAAUGGGCGAAGGGCGGAUGAAGAGAGGCCGCGUGAGCGAAGAAGUAUUUCGGUAUGUAAAGGUCUAUCAGCAGGGAAGAUAAUGACGGUACCUGAAUAAGAAGCACCGGCUAAAUACGUG
rnacentral:rRNA from 1 species